rnacentral:rRNA from 1 species
AAAACUUUCAACAACGGAUCUCUUGGCUCUGGCAUCGAUGAAGAACGCAGCGAAAUGCGAUAAGUAAUGUGAAUUGCAGAAUUCAGUGAAUCAUCGAAUCUUUGAACGCACAUUGCGCCCGCCAGCACUCUGGCGGGCAUGCCUGUCCGAGCGUCAUUUACCACCCUCGGGCCCCCUGGGGGGCCCGGUGCUGGGG